AUACGGAGGGUGCGAGUGUUAAUCGGAAUUACUGGGCGUAAAGGGUGCGUAGGCGGCUUGAUAAGUCGGAUGUGAAAGCCCCGGGCUUAACCUGGGAAUUGCAUUCGAUACUGUCAGGCUAGAGGAUGUCAGAGGUUGGCGGAAUUCCUGGUGUAGCGGUGAAAUGCGUAGAUAUCAGGAGGGACACCAGUGGCGAAGGCGGCUAACUGGGGCAAUACUGACGCUGAGGCACGAAAGCGUGGGGAGCAAACAGGAUUAGAUACCCUAGUAGUCC
rnacentral:rRNA from 1 species